rnacentral:misc_RNA from 1 species
GUAGGUGAACCUGCGGAAGGAUCAUUAACACGUAUCCAAACGUAAAACCCCCCCCGUGAACCUUGACCCUGCUCUCCUGACGUUUUGUGAUUAUUUUGCAUAAGAAGCGCGCCAUGCUGGUAUCUCACAUGUUUGUUAUGACUCUGUGUGCCGCGCAACUAGCAAGGUUUUCCCAGGACGGAGUGUGGAUAGAUGCGGGCCGUAAGGACGACUUGUUUGCCCCCGUUGCUUUGUCUGUCAGUGUCAUUGU